UUAUAAAACUUGCAUCAUUUGGAUACGUUUUAGGGGGUUUCCCACUUAUAUCAUGUGCCAACUAGACAGGUGUAAAGUUUCAAAACCAAAAUUACUUCAUACCUUGUUACUUUUUAGUAAAAACGUUUAUUGUAAGGAUUAAAAAAUCGUAAAGUAAGUAUUGAACUAUAAAAAUUAUGUAUGUUGUUUAAAUCAUUUAAAAUAUGCUUUGGUACUUAAAAUUUUAUUAAAUGAUUAUAAAAAUAUAUUAACCAUGUAAUUGCCAAUCUCAACAAGACUGCUACGUUUUUACCAUAACAUUUCUUAACAACUAAAGGUGGUCGUGUGGUCUAGCGGGACGGCUGCAGUGCAGGCGAUUUGGUGUCACGAUAUCACAGUAGCAUGGGUUCGAAUCCCGGCGAGGGAAGAACCAAAAAUUUGCGAAAGCAAAAUUUACAGAUCUAACAUUGUUGGUUGAUGUUUAGACGAGUUGUAUAUAUAUAUAUAUAUAUAUAUAUAUUUAUAUAUAUUAUAUAUAUAUAUAUAUAUAUAUAAUUGUAUAAUAAUAUAAUAUAUAUGUCAUAACUAGAUGUUUUGGUACAACAUAUUUCAAAAAGCUGCUAUGUGUACUUUUAUUUGAAGUAAUGUGUACGAAAAGUAAAUAACAUGAUUUUUUUUAAAUAAUUUUUUUAAAUGGUUUACAGAGCCAGAAAUAGUACUACAUGUAAAUAAAUACCGUCGAAUAACACACGUCUCGACUGCGGUUGAUUUAGUUUAUUUAUUAAUGGCGUGUACCUUUUCAAUUGAUAGGAACCGCUUUUUUGUAUUAUGAAACUAUAAUUCUAGUGGUCAAACUACAGUACAUGUAUCAAUAGACUGUCAACACUGAGGUUGUGAUUACAUGACAUUUUGCCAUUUGUUUUUGGGACUUUCUGUUUUGAAUUUUCCAUGGAGUUUAGUAUUUUUGUGAUUUUAAUCCUCACCAGGUAAUCCGGUUUCCUCCGCCAUAAAAAAAAACCAAAUCUCACCGCCUCGAAAUAGCGCAACAGUGCUGAAAUUGGCAUUAAACUUCAAUUGAUCAAUCCAAGCAAUAUUCAAAACUUUAAAUAUAUUAUGAGAGCAACGGAUAUAAUAAGCUUUUUGCAUACUCCUAAUUCGUAUGUUUUACAUGUUUUAACAAAAAAAAAAGAGACCAAAAAGAUAUUCGGAAUAAAAAUAUAUAUGUGUAAUUAAUAUCUAGAAUCUUAAGAUAAAACUAAACACAAAAUACUGUUUAAUGAGAUAACAUCCGGGGAACAGUGCUCAUAUUCCGACCUCCCAUUAGCCAUACACCUCCGUUCGCUGCACCACACUGUUGACGUCCAAUGGUUAUUAUUUCAGAUAUUUUCAGUACUUGACCAAAUUAACAGUUCAUACACUAGUACAUGUAUGUCUACUUAAUAGCUUGACUGUAAUGUGUUGUGAACAAUUUGGAUUGUCGCUGUAAAAUGAGGGCAAAUUGAAUAUAUAUUUGAAGAACUUUCAUCUUACUAAAACCGCCUAAAGCCUAAGGAACCCACCAGAUUAUUGUGUUUUUGGUAUAGGUUUUGGACUUUUCUUUUACAUUUAGAAAAUAUUUAGCAGUGACGGUCUAUUUGAAUUGAGUUUGACCCGCUUGUCGAUUUUAUUACUUUUUCCAGGACAACAAGAACGCUAAAGGAGGGGAAUUUAUUUUUAUAUUUUCUGUUACUUAUGUUAGUUAUUUCGAUAGUUAUAUUGCACAUAUCAUUAUAUUUUUGUUUAUUUAUCAGUAAUAAAUCGAUUGUCCUCAAGUUUAAGUUGUGCAUUCAGGAAGUUUAAUAUUUGUUUUAUAUAUUUUAUUCAUGAUAUUGAGAGAUAUAUGGAUUAUUUUAUAUUUGUUUUAUAUAUUUUAUUCAUGAUAUUGAGAGAUUUAUGGAUUAAGUGGAAAUUAGAUUACGUAUUUUUUUUUGUACUGAUGCAAGAACAUUUAAAACCUGUUCUUAUCAUAUAUACGCGUUAAGACCUAUUGCAUGGUGGCCUUCGAUUGAUCGGGUUGUUGUCUCUUUGACAUAUUCCCCAAAUUUCCAUUCUCAUUUUUUUAUGUAUUUUAGGGAAUCUGUAAUGAGUGCAAAAUACAGAAUAGACGAUCCUUAUAAUUCCCACGUGACAGAAAAUAGCCAACACAAAUCAACUGAAGAAUCUGGUGCCCAAGCGUAUGACAAUGCCAUGUAUCAAAGUGGAUCAGAGUUAAAACACUGCCACAAAGUGGAAGAGAAUGAAGUUCAAAUAACGCUAAAUGACGGCAGUGACAAUAUAAUUAGUCCGAAUAAUGGACCGAAUAAUAAUGGCACAAAUCAUGCAAUCAAGGAUGGGAACAGGUAUGGAGGGGGAUAGGACCUUUAUCGGGACUCCGGGAUCGGGUGUUUUUAAGCUCGGGAUUUCGGGAUCGACCCUUUCGGGAUCCGGGAAUCCUUUUUUUCGGAUUUCGGGAUGUCGGGAUUUGCUUUAUUUAAAUUCGGGACCUCGGGAUUUCGUUUUUUCAAGUCCGGGAUUUCGGGAUCAAGACCCCUCCUAUCCCCCCUCAGGUAUGCGUA
rnacentral:lncRNA from 1 species